CCUACGGGUGGCUGCAGUCGAGAAUCAUUCACAAUGGGGGAAACCCUGAUGGUGCGACGCCGCGUGGGGGAAUGAAGGUCUUCGGAUUGUAAACCCCUGUCAUGUGGGAGCAAAUUAAAAAGAUAGUACCACAAGAGGAAGAGACGGCUAACUCUGUUCCAGGAGCCGCGGUAAUACAGAGGUCUCAAGCGUUGUUCGGAAUCACUGGGCGUGAAGCGUGCGUAGGCUGUUUCGUAAGGCGUGUGUGAAAGGUGCGGGCUCAACCCGCGGACGGCACAUGAUACUGCGAGACGAGAGUAAGGGAGGGGGAAGCGGAAUUCGCGGUGUAGCAGUGAAAUGCGUAGAUAUCGAGAGGAACACUGGUGGCGAAGGCGGGUUCCUGGACAUUAACUGACGCUGAGGCACGAAGGCCAGGGGAGCGAAAGGGAUUAGAUACCCGGGUAGUC
rnacentral:rRNA from 1 species